CCGCUGUUUGGUGGAUAUCUUGGCUUGGGCACCGAUGAAGAGCGUGGCAAGCUGCGUUAAGCUUGGGUUAGUCGCAUGCAGACGCUGACCCCAAGAUUCUCGAAUCGGACAUCCGGUUGCGGUCUAAUAACCCGCAACAUUCUCUUUGUGAGAAGGGGAACCCUGAGAAGUAAAACAUUUUAGUAUCAGGAGGAAAAGAAAACAAUAGUGAUUCCGUGAGUAACGGCGAGCGAAAGCGGAACAGGUCAAACCGAAUCCGUAGGAGAAAUCCUAUGGAGAUGUGGGGUGUGGACCCUUUACGGCUUCCCUAAAGAAGGUGAAGACUCCUGGAAUGCUGAGCCACAGAGCGUGAUAGCCGCGUAACCGUAAUUUAGAAUGCCGAUUAAGGGUAUCCCGAGUAGUGCGGGAUGGUUUUCUCGUACGAAAAUGCCAGACACACACUGGCAAACCUAAAUAUGUCCCAAGACCGAUAGUGAACUAGUAGCGUGAGCUAAAGAUGAAAAGAAACCCGGAAGGGUCGUGAAAAGUGCUUGAAACCAAACAGCUUAAUAAGGAUGCAGCCUGAAAGGAUAGAUUCUGCGCGAAUGGGUUCUGGUGACGGAACAUCAGAGCGUAGAGGACUAGGGUUGCAUCAUCAGUCUGGAAUCAUUGGCCAGGGAGUUUAUAGUAGAGGCGAGCUUAAGUGACUCGCGUCACGUAGGCGCAGGGAAACCAAUAUUCUUGCAACUUAAUUAUCACAUUAAGAAGAUUUGUUCGUUAUAGGGCUGGUUAUGCCACCCAAAGACGUUCAAUGAAUCUUUCUAAGGAAUUAAGCCAGAAGAAUGGUCUUAAAGGGCCUAAAGUCUCUGCCAUAACACCCGAAGCCGGUCGAUCUAUUCCUGGCCAAGAUGAAGUCGUUCGAAAGGAUGAUGGAGGUCUGCAGUAGUGCUGACGUGCAAUUCGCUUACAUGAGCUGGGAAUAGGAGCAAAAGGCUAAUCUAGAUCGGUGAUAGCUGGUUCUCCCCGAAGUUGGUGUCAGCCAAGUCUCGGACGAGGUAGCCCGUGUUGUAGAGCACUAAUUGCGAAAUAUGGGGAUGAAAAUCCUCGCUUCGCUCUUAAACUCCGAAGGCGCGGGCGCUGUAGACUCCGGGAAACGGGUUAGUGGGCGUAAAGUCCAUUGCCGAGAAGGGAACAACCUAGACUAGGGUUAAGGUCCCUAAGUGCAGAUUAAGUGCGAAAACAAAGGGCGUUAUAUUUCUAAAACAGCAAAAGGAUAGGUAUAGAAGUAGCCACUCCCUAACGAGUGUGUAACAACUCAUUUGCCGAGAAAUAUAGCCCCGAAAAUGGACGGGGCUAAAGUCUGCCACCGAGACCCUAGAGCACGGGCGGAAGAACCCCGUGAUCUGGUAGGGGAGCGUCCGGAUUGGGUGGAAGCAGGUGCGUGAGUUCCUGUGGACCGGUCCGGAGUGCAGAUCCUGGUGAGAGUAAAAGCAUAGAUGGGUUAGAAUCCCAUCCGCCGAAAGGGCAAGGGUUUCUUCGCAAUGCGUCGUCAGCGAAGAGUUAGUCGGGAACUAAGUGCACCCUUAACUGGUAUGCGCGAAAGAGAAACAGGUUUAUAUUCCUGUACUACGGCGCUACGAAAUAGCGGUAACGCACGGUGAUCAUGUUAACGGUUCCGGAUAAGUGGAAUAGGGUCGUCGAAUAUCUCCCUAUUUAAAUGUAUAAAACUGGUGAAUAGUGUAAUACUUAGACCCAGUUAAAACCAUGAAUAGCCAUCCAAAUGUGGAAGGUUCCGCUGAGUCCAGGACCCAUUGAAAAGACAUACACAAGGAACGCCGUAUCCGUACCCAGAACCGACACAGGUGCCCCUAGGUGAGUAGCCUAAGGCGUAUUCGUGUAAAGGAGGUUAGGGAAAUCGACAAAUUAGAGCCGUAACUUUGGGAGAAGGCUUGCUUGCGAACUUCUGUACGCGUUAGUGUACGGGGGCUCUCAAGUUGCAAUAACUAGGGGGGGGCAACUGUUUAAUAAAAACAUAGCUUUCUGAUAGCCUGAAAAGGUGUUUACAGAAGGUGAUACCUGGCCAGUGGCAGUCUGAUCAAUCCGGGUUACAACCCGAGUAAGUCCUGCUAAACGCCGGGAGUAACUAUAACUCUCUUAAGGUAGCCAAAUGCCUUGUCUGGUAAGUCAGACGUGCAUGAACGGUCCAACGUUCUCCCUAUUGUCCCAACCUUCUGACGAUUGAAAUCACUCUCCGGCGAACGGUCCGGAGAUACCUAGUGGGACGAGAAGACCCCGUGGAGUUUUACUGCAGCCUGUUGUUGUGGUUUGGAAUUAGAUACAGAGCGUAGUCGGGAGCGUAGAUGGUAUAAUUUAGGUUAUACUGGAGCACACUUGGAACACCGGCUUUCUCUUUCUGAAUCACUAACGAUGCUUAUACGUAUCGGACACCCGCAGGUGGGCAGUUUGGCUGGGGCGGCUCACUCUAGAAAAAAUAUCUAGAGUAACCAAUGGUCAGCUCAGGCGGGUCAGGAAUCCGCUGUAGAGUUUAAGAGCAAAAGCUGGCCUGACUGGAUUCUGAUUACCAAGGAAUCCUGAGGCUAACGCCUGGUCUAGCGAUCCUCAACUGUGCUCGUGUGGCUUGUUGAGGUGAUAGAAAAAUUACCCCGGGGGUAACAGAGUUGUCACGAGUAAGAGUUCCUAUCGACCUCGUGGCUUGCUUCCUCGAUGUCGGCUCUUCCUAUCCUGGAGGCGCACAUAACCUCCAAGGGUGGGGCUGUACGCCCAUUAAAAGGGAACGUGAGCUGGGUUUAGACCGUCGUGAGACAGGUCGGAUUCUAUCUAACGGUGUUGUUGGGAAUUUGAGAGCAGCGUGCGUCCUACGAGAGGAACAACGCGCGGUCGCCUCUGGUGAGGGGUUGUUCGACAGA
rnacentral:rRNA from 1 species